rnacentral:rRNA from 1 species
GAUGAACGCUGGCGGCGUGCCUAAUACAUGCAAGUCGAGCGAACAGACGAGGAGCUUGCUCCUCUGACGUUAGCGGCGGACGGGUGAGUAACACGUGGAUAACCUCCCUAUAAGACUGGGGUAACUUCGGGAAACCGGAGCUACUACCGGCUAAUAUCUUGAACAGCAUGGUUCACUAGUGACAGACGGUUUUGCUGUCACUUAUAGAUUGAUCGGCGGCGGAUUAGCUAGUUGGUGAGGUAACGGCUUACCAAGGCAACGAUGCGUAGCUGGUCUGAGAGGACGACCAGCCACACUGGAACUGAGACACGGCCCAGACUCCUACGGGAGGCAGCAGUGGGGAAUUUUGGACAAUGGGCGAAAGCCUGAUCCAGCAAUGCCGCGUGUGUGAAGAAGGCCUUCGGGUUGUAAAGCACUUUUGUCCGGAAAGAAAACCUUGGCACUAAUACAGUCGGGGGAUGACGGUACCGGAAGAGUAAGCACCGGCUAACUACGUG